CAUUCCUUCUUUUUUUCUGAUGGAUUCGCCUUGUUAGUAGGAAGAUUAUACCUUUCAAACUUGGCCUUCAAAAAUGAGCAUGUUUCUGGACUUCCAAAGGUGCCAAAUGACUGAUAUGAACAGUCUGUCUUUAACCCUUGGGCAGGUAGAUAAACCCAUAAAGAGAGGUAUGGGAGAGAGUCUGGAACUCUUUUCACAGUUCCUACCUUUGACUAUGAAACCAAGACCUUCGUACGGCCUGCCGGUAGUAGUGGUGAGGUCUGUAUUUACAUUGAUUGUCUUGUUGCUUAGAGACUCCACUGAGAGUUUAAAGCAAGUAGUUGUAUGUUCGACAAGCUAGUGUUAAGCAUAUUACUCAUAAGCUAGUGACUGAGAUUUGAACUCCAUCAUUUGGGAAUUUUUUCUUUCUACCUGAAAGAUGGUACAAUGACUUAUGGGUCUUUUUUUUCUCGUGCUGUAUC
rnacentral:lncRNA from 1 species